GGUUCGACUCGAGCGAAGCGAGAGAACGUUGCGCCAGCAACGGCCCGCAGGGCGAGCCACCCUCUAUCACCGGCA
rnacentral:sRNA from 2 species